UGAGCGUCGGUUGGUGUUUGCUUUCGUCCGUGCACUUGAUUAAACCCAACAAACGCUUAAA
rnacentral:pre_miRNA from 1 species